rnacentral:rRNA from 1 species
CCUACGGGUGGCAGCAGUGAGGAAUAUUGGUCAAUGGACGAGAGUCUGAACCAGCCAAGUAGCGUGAAGGAUGACUGCCCUAUGGGUUGUAAACUUCUUUUAUAAAGGAAUAAAACGAGGCACGUGUGCCUUUUUGCAUGUACUUUAUGAAUAAGGAUCGGCUAACUCCGUGCCAGCAGCCGCGGUAAUACGGAGGAUCCGAGCGUUAUCCGGAUUUAUUGGGGUUAAAGGGAGCGUAGAUGGGUUGUUAAGUCAGUUGUGAAAGUUUGCGGCUCAACCGUAAAAUUGCAAUUGAUACUGGCAGUCGUGAGUACAGUUGAGGUAGGCGGAAUUCGUGGUGUAGCGGUGAAAUGCUUAGAUAUCACGAAGAACCCCGAUUGCGAAGGCAGCUUACUAAACUGUGACUGACAUUGAUGCUCGAAAGUGUGGGUAUCAAACAGGAUUAGAUACCCGAGUAGUC